AGAGUUUGAUCCUGGCUCAGAACGAACGCUGGCGGCGUGGAUAAGACAUGCAAGUCGAACGAGACUUACUUUGUAGCAAUACCGAGUAAGUCUAGUGGCGCAAGGGUGCGUAACACGUGGGCAAUCUGCCGGGAAGUGGGGGAUAGCUCGCCGAAAGGCGAAUUAAUACCGCAUGUGACUAGGGAAGACAUCUUCUCAACGUCAAAGUCGGGGCAACCUGACGCUUCCUGAUGAGCCCGCGGCCUAUCAGCUAGUUGGUAAGGUAACGGCUUACCAAGGCUAUGACGGGUAGCUGGUCUGAGAGGACGACCAGCCACACUGGAACUGAGACACGGUCCAGACACCUACGGGUGGCAGCAGUCGAGAAUUUUUCUCAAUGGGGGAAACCCUGAAGGAGCGACGCCGCGUGAAGGAUGAAGGUCUUCGGAUUGUAAACUUCUGUCAUUAGGGAACAAUUGUCGGUAAGUAACUACUAUCGGCUUGAUAGUACCUGAAGAGGAAGAGACGGCUAACUCUGUGCCAGCAGCCGCGGUAAUACAGAGGUCUCAAGCGUUGUUCGGAUUCAUUGGGCGUAAAGGGUGCGUAGGUGGUAUCGUAAGUUGGAUGUGAAAUCCCGGAGCUCAACUCCGGAACUGCAUUCAAUACUGCGGUGCUUGAGUACUGGAGAGGAGAUUGGAAUUCACGGUGUAGCAGUGAAAUGCGUAGAUAUCGUGAGGAAGACCAGUGGCGAAGGCGGAUCUCUGGACAGUUACUGACACUGAGGCACGAAGGCCAGGGGAGCAAACGGGAUUAGAUACCCCGGUAGUCCUGGCAGUAAACGGUGCACGUUUGGUAUGGGAGGAUUCGACCCCUUCCGUGCCGGAGCUAACGCGUUAAACGUGCCGCCUGGGGAGUACGGUCGCAGAUUAAAACUCAAAGAAAUGACGGGGCCCGCACAAGCGGUGGAGUAUGUGGCUUAAUUCGAUGCAACGCGAAGAACCUUACCUGC
rnacentral:rRNA from 1 species